ensembl:lncRNA
UGGAUGGAAGGUGGUGACUUCUCGUGGGAAGGAUGGGCGUGGCUUCAGGUGGGUUGGAUGGAAGGUGGUGACUUCUCGUGGAAGGAUGGGCGUGGCUUCAGGUGGGUUGGAUGGAAGGUGGUGACUUCUCGUGGGAAGGAUGGGCGUGGCUUCAGGUGGGGUUGGAUGGAAGGUGGUGACUUCUCGUGGGAAGGAUGGGCGUGGCUUCAGGUGGGUUGGAUGGAAGGUGGUGACUUCUCGUGGAAGGAUGGGCGUGGCUUUAUGUGGCUUCAGGUGGCUUCAGAUGUGAAGGAUGAUUGUAGGGAACUGGUUAGCAGUCUGUUUUACCUCUAUGAUAUCGAGGCCACACCCACGUUCCCAUCGAUGAACUUAGACAUGCCUUUUGUUGUCUGUGAUGUGCAGACAGACCCUAUUGUUCCUGUGUGCUGGUUCAGGGUGGUGUGUGUGUGUGUGUGUGUGUGUGUGUGUGUGUGUGAUGGUUAGAGCUGAGUGUGCGGUUUGCUACUGUGGCCUCAGUGCUGUUUUAACAAAACUCUUUUUGUCCCGCUGCUUGUUCAAUAAAGCGCUGAUGCUUCACUAAAAGCUUUUGUUCCAGCCGAUCCACCCGGAACACACACACACACACACACACACACACACACACCAUAUUCUAGUCACUGAUUAAGCCUCAUUUAGAUGAAUAACAAAGCUCUGAAACACCUCAUACAACAACAGGAGAGCUCAUAUAACCUGUG